rnacentral:rRNA from 1 species
CCUACGGGAGGCAGCAGUGGGGAAUAUUGGACAAUGGGCGAAAGCCUGAUCCAGCAAUGCCGCGUGAGUGAAGAAGGCCUUCGGGUUGUAAAGCUCUUUUACCCGGGAAGAUAAUGACUGUACCGGGAGAAUAAGCUCCGGCUAACUCCGUGCCAGCAGCCGCGGUAAUACGGAGGGAGCUAGCGUUGUUCGGAAUUACUGGGCGUAAAGCGUACGUAGGCGGCUUGGUAAGUCAGAGGUGAAAGCCCACGACUCAAUCGUGGAACUGCCUUUGAGACUGCUUCGCUUGAAGAUGGGAGAGGUUAGUGGAAUUCCGAGUGUAGAGGUGAAAUUCGUAGAUAUUCGGAAGAACACCAGUGGUGAAGGCGGCUAACUGGACCAUUCUUGACGCUGAGGUACGAAAGCGUGGGGAGCAAACAGGAUUAGAUACCCUGGUAGUCCACGCCGUAAACGAUGAUAACUAGCUGUCGGGGCUCUUGGAGCUUCGGUGGCGCAGCUAACGCAUUAAGUUAUCCGCCUGGGGAGUACGGCCGCAAGGUUAAACUCAAAUGAAUUGACGG